GUUGUUGUGGCUCAGGGGUAGAGUGCUCGUUUAGCACAUGCAAGGCCCUGAGUUUGAUCCUUAGCACCACA
rnacentral:tRNA from 1 species